AUGUCUAGUGUGAACCCAGAGCACGCAAAUUUCCAUCAGGUGGUUGAUGAUGAUGCUGCUAUGUUCAUGACUGAUUUGGUAAAGGGAUAUGGGGAGAUUCAUGUCUUUGUGGAGCAUCCAGUGCAUGAACCACUUGAGGUACCUGGUAGUGAACUAGAAGGUGUAGGUGUAGAUGCUGAGUAUGCUGAGUAUGGUGAUGAAGAGUAUAGACUUGAUUUUUCACAAUUUGGAGGUCAUGAUAAUGCUGAAUUUACUAAUGUUGACCAUGGUGAGUCAUAUGAGGUAGAUGCUGAGCAAGUUUGUGCUAGGAGGGCUGACAAAGCACCAGUUGUCGAUGACCAAGUUGAGGAGAGUAGUGAGGGUAGUGAGGAUGAGAGGAGUGACUUAGAAGAAGAGCCAGAAAUUCAACCAAUAAAUAUUGGUGAAGAUAGUACUGAUAGUUGGGACAAUCAAGCUGAAGAUGAUGAGGUUGAACCAGGACAAAUGAGUGGUGGUGUCAUGAAUUCUGACUAUGAGAGUAAGGAGCUGCUUAGCCUUGAUGAAUCAUCAUCAAGUAGUGAGGAUGGUGAUGAUUCAAGUGAUGAUGACAUUCAAGAAGAAGAGGUUGACAAUUCUAUUAGGAGGAGCAAAUACCCAAUCUUUAGGCCAGUAGCCAAAGCUAAGCAUCUUAGGUUUGAGAAGGAUAUGUUGUUCAUCUCAACUAAACAAUUUAAAGAUGCUAUAACUGAUUAUGCAGUUGAUGGUGGGUGGGGUAUAAAAUUGAUGAAAAAUGACUUGGUGAGAGUGAGAGCCCGAUGCCAGCCAGGGUGCAAGUUUGUUGCCUACCUUGCAAAGGUGCCAAGAGAAAAGAGUUUUAGAUUGAAAACAUUGAACAUGGAACACACAUGCAACAGAAGUUAUAGAAAUCCAAGGUGCACAGCAUCAUACAUUGGGAAAAAGUUAGUGAAGAGGGUUAGGAGACAACCUGACAUAAAGCUUAAGGACAUUCAGGAUGCUGUGCAUGAGAAGUAUGUGGUUAACAUAAGUGCAGGCAAGGCAAGUAGGGCUAGAGAAAAAGCUCAAGAUGCUGUUGAUGGGGCCCACACUGCACAGUUCAACCAACUAUGGGAGUACUGUGAUGAGUUGAGAAGGUGUAGUCCUGGGAGCAUAAUAUUGAUGAAGGUGCAUACUUUUAAUGAUGGUGAUUUGGCAGCCGAGCAUGGAUUGGCAACUGGGCUACCAUAUUUUGAAAGAAUCUACAUCUGCCUGGAAGGUUGCAAGAAAGGCUUCUUGGCAUGGUGCAGGCCAAUCAUUGGUCUAGAUGCAUGCCAUUUGAAGACCAAGGCAGGUGGUCAGCUGAUGUGUGCUGUUGGUAGAGAUCCCAAUGAUGAAUACUUUCCCUUAGCAUAUGCAGUAGUUGAGGCUGAAACAAAGGACACUUGGACCUGGUUUCUUAAUUUAUUGCUUGCUGACAUAGGAGAUGACAACAAAUGGGUGUUCAUAUCUGACCAGCAGAAGGUAUGAUGGUAGAUUUAUUGCUUGUUGAAUUAAUUGUAGUUGAUGGUAGCUUCAUUGCUUGCUGAAUUAAAUGAUUGUGCUUUACAGGGGUUGGUGAACACCUUUGUUGACAAUUGGCCACAGUACGAGCACAGGAUCUGCUAUAGACAUUUAUACAAUAAUUUGAGGAAACAUCAUCUUGGUGUCCUUAUUAGAGACCUUUUUUGGAAAGCAGCCAUGGCUACCUAUCAGCAAGCAUUUGAGAGGGCAAUGAAUGAGCUAAAGGAGGUGGAUGAAGAUGCAUUCAAAUGGCUGCAGUCUCACUCAACAACUAUCUGGGCUAGGCAUAUGUUCAAAAGUGAUGGCCAGAGUGACACCGUCCUGAACAACAUGUGUGAAAGCUUCAACAGCAUGUUAGUUAAGUUUAGGAGCAAAUCUAUAAUUACCAUGAUAUGCAUAAUUCUCCAUUUCAUCUGCAUUAUGAUCCAUAGACCUAUGUAAUUCAUGAAUGAUUAAUUCUCUAUUUCUCUCUAUGUGCUUGCAGCUUGAAUGUAUUAGGCUAUAUCUGAUGACUAGAUUUCAAGCAAACAGAGAAAUGAUUAUGAAGAUGGAAUCUGAGUUGUGUCCUAAGAUAAGGAAAAUGCUGUACAAGGAGAAGUUGGCAUGCAGCAAGUGGAUAGCAUGUUGGGCUGGUCGUACGAAGUUUGAAGUGAAGAAUGGGCUGGAGAGUUUCAUUGUGGACUUGGAAGAGAAGAAGUGUAGCUGUAGGAAGUGGGACAUACUUGGCAUGCCAUGUUGCCAUGCCAUUUCUUGUAUAUUUUUCAGCAGAGAAGAUGUUGAAAAGUAUGUCAAUGCUUGCUACAAAAGGACUACCUACAUUGAUUGCUAUGAACCCAUUAUAGAGCCCAUCAAUGGCCAGAAUAUGUGGAGACCUAGUGGACUACCACCUGUGCAACCCCUUAUCAAGAGGAGACCUCCUGGUAGGCCUAAGAAGAAGAGGGCACUAAAGUCUGAUGAACCUAGAAGUCACUGAUAUGCAUGAAAUAUAUACAAUAAAAUACUCACAUAUCUACAUAUUUAGCCUUACUUCUAUGUUAUUUUGUGACUAAUUAUAUAAUAUCUUUGUGUUGCAGAUAACAAGGGCUUUACAUGCAAAGUAGGGCUAGGCCAGUUGAAUCAAGCCAACUUACAUCCAGCCAGGCAUGAAUUCAAGAGAAGAUCAACCUAAUUAAAUUUAAGUCCAAUUGGAAUCAAAGGAAAUUUGCACCAAAUCUAAGUCCAAUUCAGAUUAGGAUUCCAGCCUGCACAUCAGUUAGUAUUUUCAGCAUAACUUUCUACUCAAAUGUCUAAUCUAGAUGAUUCAAGUUGGGCUGGAAAUUUCACUUAAAGGGCUACAACUUUGUAGUUUACUAGGAGCCCGAAUUUUGACGUUAAAUGGGCCAAAAUUGUCAGUUAAGUGAAGCCUAAAAAUCUAGGAUUUUCUCCAAAUGGGAAUUCAACUUGUAAUAGGAUUCCUUGACCUAUUUAAAGGCUUUUUAGGGCAAAAUUCAGGGAGGCUAGUGCUAGGGCUGAGAUGCAAAACAGAAAAUUGGAGCAAAAGGCAGUGCCGCAUGUGGCUUCUCUGUAGCUUUUCUCCAUGAUAGCAUUGUGACUAUUUCUUUCUUUAUUUUAUUUGUCUAGUUUAAUGUUUAGUAUUUUAUUCUUUUGUUUUAUUUCAAUUACCAUGAGUAGCUAAAUUUAUAAUUAUGGUUGAGGAUGAAACCUUGUUAAGGAUUAUCAAUAAUAUUUAUGUGAUUUGAUUUUUCCCACAAUAGUUGUUCUUUAAUGAUUUAAAUUGUUCUUGCUUCAUAUCAAUUGACUAAGAUAGGAUUCUAGAUAUGAGUUCAAUUAUGUUUUUCUCAUGAUUUAGGAUUUGUCUUAAUUAAUUGAAUGCUUGGUUUAUUAAUUCUUGAUUAUAGAAUCGGAUAUCGUUUGUGAUUUGUCUGUCAAUGGAUACAAGUUAUGAUUUGAUUUUUAGAAUUGGAUAUAUCUUAUGAUUUGUUUGGCUACGAAUACAAUUGAUGAUUUGGUUUUAUACUUAAGAAGCGAAGACAAACAUGCUUUUGAUUUUUAAAAUAAGGAUUUUAAUGAGGAUAUUUUCCAUGAUAGCAAGAUUAAUUUCUAGAUUAUCAUGUAGUGAGUUGGGAAAAAUUAAUGAUCAUAAAUAUAUGCUGAUAUGACUUGCAAGGCGGAUUCCAAAACCUUAAUUCCUUUCCCUUGAUUGUUUACAUCUUUUUAUUACUUUAUAUCUUUUGCUUAGUUUAACUAUUUGCUUAAUUUUAUUAUUUGCUUAGUUUAUUUAAUUUCAAAACAACCAAUUUUUAUUAAACUAGAUUAGGAUUAAUUUGGUUAAUGUUUAAUUAAUUUUCCUAUGUUCAUUCAAGUCCCUGUGGGUUCGACCUCGUUCUUGUCAAACUAUACUUCGGUACAGUUUGUACACUUGCGAGUAUUUUAAAAUUUCACAACAAUCACAGAAAAAAUAGAGGUCUGGGCAUCUCAAAACAAUGCAAGUUAUGUGGAAAAUUAGGACACAACAAGAGGACCUACAAGGGAGAAGUAGGAGGGAACUCUUCCUUACCUGGGAGUGCAUCCCAAGCCAGUAGGACCACUAGGAGGGUAAAUAUACUAUUUUGACUUCGAUAUCUCCAUUGUUUUGUUUUUCAGUUGGCAAACUAUUAAUUAUUAUUGUGCUUGUGCUUGCAGGCAGCCAAGGAUGGUCAUGCAAAUAGCCCAGUUGUAGGCAAUGCACAACCAGCCAAGGAUGUGACCACAAGUGCACCUCCACCCCCCACUGAUAACCAAUCCAAUCCAAGACCAACAAGACAGAGGAAGAAAGGUGCAGUCACUACUGAGACCUUGAAUGCAACUGGGAAUGCAGCAAGAUAUAUGGCAGCAAUGAGAUCUGCUAAAAGAUAG
rnacentral:sRNA from 1 species